UUGAGACACGAUUUCUUUCCUUCUUUUGUACUCCUUUUGUGAAGGCGUGAAGGGUGUCCAGCAACAAGUUUCUUUCCUUCCCCAAGAUAAGCUGUUAGAGGACAAAUCGAACUGAGCGGCGAGGAGUUUUUGUUGGUAUUGUUUUCCAAUUGGUUUCAACUUCUGCAAACAAAGCUAGAGCUGUGACACAUUGCAAGACUCAAACCAAGAGGGCACAGCUGGCUCAAGAUCCCUAAUCAAAGAUAUUCACGAUAAUGAAGCAUUGUCAACAGAUUUCCUGCUACAACAUCUGUCAUACUGAAAUCUUUCCUACUACAGAGAAAAACUACUGAUUCAGAAAGUGCUGGCACAUGGAGUAAGACUAGGAAGCAGACCUCAAGGAAAAUGAUCUCGGAAAGUGUGGGUUACCAGCACCUGGUUCAGCAGUGCUUCCAGCUGACGUGUUUGGCCUGUCUGUGGAGUUGUGAGAAAUCUGAUUAAAAAAGAAAAAAAAAGCCCAUCCUGGCAGAAGAUCUGUCUUAGAAAUCCAAGCAAAUCCAAAACAUCUGCAAGAGAAAUCAACUAACCAAUAAUGAAAAAUAAAGGAUACUUUGCUUCAAAGAAAGAGCUCAGUACAACUAUUGAACAUCUGUACGAACUUCAAGCUAUAAGAAGGGCUAAACCAGGUCAGAUGAGCAGCAACAUGAUGACAGUGAUGAUCUGGUGAGGGGAUUUGUCUAAAAGUGGACUGAAUUUGAGGAUUCCUCUGAGAAAAGAGUAGAAGGUCCAAGGAAGCUGGUGAUCCUUAUGUUCCUCGGGAGUGUAAAGUAUUAUGGCCAAACUGACACGGGAGGUUGUCUGCGCGGUGUUUCGGCCGGACCUCCCGUUCCCCUCGGAGGAAGGCGCCGGCGGGCCCCGCUUCCCACCCCAGCCCCGACGU